AUGUAUAGCAAUAGCUUAUUGCACCAACAAAUAGUUGAUGUAAUAUUGACUCUGUCAAAUAAAAUUCUAGGUAGAAUUAUGAUAAUGACAUUGUCUGCCUAUAUGUCUUGACCAAAUUACGUGCCAGCAGUCGCGGUAAUACGUAGAAGACUAGUGUUAUUCAUCUUUAAUAGGUUUAAAGGGUACCUAGACGGUAGAUCAAGCCUUCGCAGGGACUAAUUUACUAGAGUUACUUACGAGGGGGUAUUAAAGUACUGCAGGUGUAGGGAUGAAAUUCUGUCAUACCUCUUUUCGAAAGAAAAAUUAUGGCACAGGUAUAGGUGAAAGCAUCCCCUUAUGUGAUAACUGACGUUGAAGGACGAAGGCUUUGUGUCGCGAACAGGAUUAGAUACCCCNGUAGUCAAAGCAGAAAAUGAUGAAUGUCAUAGAUUAGAUAAAUAGUUUAUUCUAUAAAUGAAAAUGUAAGCAUUCCACCUCAAGAGUAAUUUGGCAACAUUGGAACUGAAAUCAUUAGACCGUUUCUGAAACCAGUAGUGAAGUAUGUUGUUUAAUUUGAUGAUCCGC
rnacentral:rRNA from 1 species